rnacentral:rRNA from 1 species
UACGAAGGGGGCUAGCGUUGUUCGGAAUUACUGGGCGUAAAGCGCACGUAGGCGGAUAUUUAAGUCAGGGGUGAAAUCCCGGGGCUCAACCCCGGAACUGCCUUUGAUACUGGGUAUCUAGAGUCCGGAAGAGGUGAGUGGAAUUCCCAGUGUAGAGGUGAAAUUCGUAGAUAUUGGGAAGAACACCGGUGGCGAAGGCGGCUCACUGGCUCGUAUCUGACGCUCAGGCGCGAUAGCGUGGGGAUCAAACAGG